CAUGUACUCCCUCUGUUCCAUAUUAGUUGUCGCUCAAACAGAUGUAUCUAGCAUUGAAAUACGUCCAGAUACAUCCGUUUCAGCGACAACUAAUAUGGAAUGGAGGGAGUAGUUA
rfam:Triticum urartu cultivar G1812 contig188494, whole genome shotgun sequence.